CCCCUAGAUGUUCUGGGCCGCACGCGCGCUACACUGAACAGUUCAACAAGUCUUAACCUUGGCCGAUAGGUCUGGGUAAUCUUUGAACGCUGUUCGUGAUUGGGAUAGACCUUUGCAAUUAUGGGUCUUCAACGAGGAAUUCCUAGUAAACGCAAGUCAUCAGCUUGCAUUGAUUACGUCCCUGCCCUUUGUACACACCGUCCGUCGCACCUACCGAUUGAAUGGUCCGGUGAAAUCUCGGGACGGCGGCUCGGUCGCUUGCGUCCGACUGCUGAAACUUGAUUAAACCAUAUCAUUUAGAGGAAGGUGAANUCGUANCA
rnacentral:rRNA from 1 species